GAUGAACGCUGGCGGCGUGCUUAACACAUGCAAGUCGAACGAGAAGUGAAGACGGAAACCUUCGGGCGGAAGGCUUUAUUUCGAGUGGCGGACGGGUGAGUAACGCGUGGGUAACCUGCCUCAUACAGGGGGAUAACAGUUGUAAACGACUGUUAAUACCGCAUAAGACCACAGCACCGCAUGGUGCGGGGGUAAAAACUGCGGUGGUAUGAGAUGGACCCGCGUUCGAUUAGCCAGUUGGCGGGGUAACGGCCCACCAAAGCGACGAUCGAUAGCCGAUCUGAGAGGAUGACCCGCCACAUUGGGAAUGAGACACGGCCCAAACCCCUACGGGAGGCAGCAGUAGGGAAUAUUGCACAAUGGGGGAAACCCUGAUGCAGCGACGCCGCGUGAGUGAAGAAGUAUUUCGGUAUGUAAAGCUCUAUCAGCAGGGAAGAAAAUGACGGUACCUGAGUAAGAAGCCCCGGCUAACUACGUG
rnacentral:rRNA from 1 species